rnacentral:lncRNA from 1 species
CCAGCAGUUAGGACAUCUCCUAAAGAUGCUUUAGUGAAGAGCAAACCAGCAUUUGUGUUUUAAGAGGAAGCCAUAUCUGGACCAGAGUGAACUGUCUGAAACGACAUCACCAAAAUGAUGAGGACAAGAUAAAUGGUGAAUAAGGAAACAGGGUGAUUAGAGAUUAGUGGAUGGAGCUUUGCAGGACAUGUGGUCUUGUUCAAAACAUCCAUAAAAUAUUUGAUCUAUGCCAAAAGGCCCUUAAUAUUCAGGUUUUUUGUUUGUUUGUUAGGGUUUUUUUCUAUAAUGUAAAUGCAAUUUAUUUAUUUUUUAAUUUUUUAUUACUCAAUGAAUUUAUUACAUUUAUAGUUGUACAAUGAUCAUCACAAUCCAAUUUUAUAGAAUUUCCAUCCCACAACCCCAGUGCAUCACCCCACCCCACGAACUGUCUCAUUUGGAAACCAUAAGUUUUUCAAAGUCUGUGAGUCAGUAUCUGUUCUGCAAAGAAGUUCAUUCUGUCCUUUUUUCAGAUUCCACAUGUCAGUGAAAGCAUUUGAUGAUGGUGUCUCAUUGUAUGGCUGACUUCAUUUAGCAUGAUAAUUUCUAGGUCCAUCAUGAUGCUAAAAAUGCCGUUAUUUUGUUCCUUUUAAUGGCUGAGUAAUAUUCCAUAGUGUAUAUGUACCACAUCUUCUUUAGCCACUCCUCUGUCGAUGGACAUUUAGGUUGUUUCCAUGACUUGGCUAUUGAAAACAGUGUUGCAAUGAACAUUGGAGUACAUGCGUCUUCGCGAGUCAUGGUUUUCUCUGGAUAGAUGCCCAGGACUGGGAUUGCUGGAUCAAAUGGCAGUUCUAUUUUUAGUUUUCUGAGGAAUCUCCAUAUUGUUUUCCACAGUGGUUGCACCAAUUUAUAAUCCCACCAUCAGUGUAACAGGGUUGCUUUUUCUCCACACCCUCUCCAGCACUUACUGUUUGUAGACUUUUGGAUGAUGGCCCUUCUGGCGGAUGUAAGGUGGUACCGCAUGAUUUGCAUUUUUCUAAUGAUGAGUGAUGUUGAACAUUUUUUUCAUGUGUUUCUUGGCCAUCUGUAUGUCUUCUUUGGAGAAUUGUCUGUUUAGGUCUUAUGCCCAUUUUUUGAUGGGGUUGUUUGUCUUUUUGGUAUUGAGCUACAGAAGGUGUUUAUAAAUUUUAGAGAUGAAUCCCUUGUCAGUUGCUUCAUUUGCAAAGAUUUUUCUCCCAUUCUGUGGGUUGUCUUUUCAUUUUGUUUAGGGUUUCCUUUGCUGUGCAGAAACUUUUAAGGUUUGAUUAGGUCCCACUUGUUUAUUUUCGUUUUUAUUGUCAUUACUCUAAGAGGUGGAUUGAGAAGAUGUUGCUGUUGUCUAUGUCGGAGAGUGUUUGGCCUGUUUUCCUCUAAGAGUUUUAUGGUAUCUGGUCUUAAUAUCUAGGUCUUUAAUCCAUUUUGAGUUUAAUUUUGUGUAUGGUGUUAGGGAGUGUUCUAAUUUCAUUCUUUUACAUGUGGCUGUCCAGUUUUCCCAGCAUCACUUAUUGAACAGGCUGUUUUUUCUCCAUUGUAUAUUCUUUCCUCCUUUGUCAUAGAUUAGUUGACAGUAGGUGUGUGCAUUUAAUUCUGGGCUUUCUAUUCUUUUCCACUGAUCUAUAUUUCUGUCUUUGUGUCAGUACCAUAUGGUUUUGAUGACUGCUGCUUUGUAGCAUAGUCUGAAGUCAAGGAGCCUGAUUCCUCCAGCUUUGUUUUUCUUUUUCAGGAUACCUUUGGCUAUUCUGGGUGUUUUGUGCUUCCAAACAAAUUUUAAAAUACUUUGUUCGAGUUCUGUGAAAAAUGUCCUUGGUAAUUUGAUUAGGGAUUGCAUUGAAUCUGUAGAUUGCCUUGGGUAGUAAAAGACCUGUACUCUGAAAACUAUAAGACACUGAUGAAAGAAAUCAAAGACGACACAAAUAGAUGGAAAGACAUAUCAUGCUCCUGGAUUGGAAGAGUUAAUAUUAAUACUCAGUUUUAUCCAACACCAUUUUACCUGGACUAAAUGUGCUUAUGGACAUUUUGGACAGCACUGUAUUUCAAGAACCUUUUGGCAUGAAUGAAAAAUCCUAUGGAUAUUUUGCAUAGACCAAAUGUUUGCUAACCAGUUGGAAAAGAAAUAGUUACAGCACAAUUUUCCAAAUGUAGAUGACUGAGAUGGCUUUUUUUUACCUGCAUGAGGAUAAGUGGUCGAGCCUUCUAGGUGCAAAGGAAAAAUGGUAAGCAAGUCACAUAUGAAGAAUAAGUGUCCAAAAUAAAUUAAAAGCAAGUGGAAAGGUCAUAAAAAAGAAAUUCAGAAGCCAUUGCUAUAGGGUCAACUUAUGUCUUAGUACUGCUCUGUGUUUUAGGCCCUUCUAAUAAUUUCCUAGUACUGCCUUGUCCUUUGACCUCUGGACCCUUGUUAAAUACACUGUCAUUUUUAUUCCUCACCAGCCCCAACAGCACUAUCAAAAACCAUAGGAUCUUGAGACCUAACCCUGUACAUUCAAAUAGUCCUGACACCCAACUGGAUUGAUGUGACUCUAUUAAGACACAUAUGCCAACAUAACAGUGAUAAAAUAAACCACCAAACUGAGAAAAGGUCUAGACCUAUAGUAGUCUGAGGUAGGUAUUAAUUCCUCCAUAAAAAUGUUAUAAAGUAUUUCUAUUAGUCAGUCAGUCUUAAAAAAGUAACUCUUCAUAGCCCUUGGGGAAAAUGUCAAAAGUACAAGUGGAGGUUUAAAAAGUUCUCAGAGUCUGUUUCCUCAGGAAACUGACCUGCAAAAAUUGGUCCCAAAAAGUAGUAGGAAGAAAAUACCAAAGUAGGAUUUGAUGUCAAUGACCAAUUUCCAGGGUUUUAUAAGGAUCUCAACACUCAGAUGGAGCACUGAGACCAUCCCUGGCAUGCAGUAUUGGUAUAACGAUUAAAGUUUUCACUAACAGUGCAUUGGGAAUUGAUACAAGUAUAAAGAAAAGGAGUGAGGCCUGCAAUGCUUCAGGUAUUUAAGAAGUGCUAGAAACAAUAGUAGCUAUAAGAAAAUUGAACUUGGAGAACUACUGCUGGGGGUUAUCAAUGCACUGGGAAAAGGCAAUAAAAGACUGAGAGUGAUUAAUAAUCAAUUAAGGCUAACAGUGAAAGAGGAUUUUCCCGGAAGGACAGAAAGAGGCUCCUUAUGCAGUCAGAUGAACAUUUUCCCUGCUUCAGACCAGACGAUACUGUUUACAAAAAUAAUAAGGAAUGCCCUGUAAGAUGGGCACUAGUAUCACCAAGAAGCUCAAUCAUGGUUUUCCUUUGUAGUGUAAAGCUAACAGUAUGAACUGCUUUUAUAAAACCUGGCUCAAGUGGAUUGAUAGAUUCUCAGAAUAAUAAAGGCCAAGGAGUUCCCGUUGUGGCUCAGUGGUUAACGGAUCUGACUAGGAACCAUGAGGUUGCAGGUUCGAUCCCUGGCCUUGCUCAGUGGGUUAAGGAUCCGGCGUUGCUGUGAGCUGUGGUGUAGGUUGCAGACACGGCUCGGAUCCCAAGUUGCUGUGGCUCUGGUGUAGGCUGGCAGCUACAGCUCCGACUGGACCCCUAGCCUGGGAACCUCCAUAUGCCGCGGGAGCAGCCCUAGAAAAAGCAAAAAGACAAAAAAAUAAAAAUAAAAAUAAAUAAAGCCAAGCAGUACACUUUGCUGCAGAAGCCAGGUGUGUGCAAUGAUCCUAAUGAGUGAUAAGGUUGUAGUGUCAGCCAUGGAGGCCUGAUCCACAGAUUGCUAUGGAGAUGCUUAAUAGGACCAAAGAAACCUAGGAUGUCCAAUAAAUGUUUGUUCAAUUUGUACAAACACAAGAUUUCAAGUGUAGGUCAGAAGGCUAAGGGAAGCAAUCCCAUUAAAAAUUCAUAAUCCUUUCCCAAUAUCUAGAACUGAGCAGUUUUCAGACCCAGAUCCACUGAAUGAAAUACGAGCUUUGUCCCCAGGAGGAAGGACCCUGUUCAACCCCAAUAUAUGUAUACAGCAAUUAUUUCCCCAGACUUAUUCCAAAGGGCAUGUAACCAUAUUAGGGUAAGGGAUAUACUCAUAUAUUUCAAAGACUGUUGGACAUAAAAUUUAAAUCAUUAUAGGUUAGGUUCCUUGGAAAACAGACAUUAAGGUGAAUUAAGAUGGAAUUUUAUGUACAGUGUGUUUAAGGAUAAUAAGAGUCUAAACCUGUGGAAAUGAGAGGAAAGAAAGAAAAAUGCCAGAAGUAAAAGUCAAGUGUUACAACGGCCCAGCCACAGAUUUUGUCAACUCUUCGGGGAGGUCUGGAGCUAGAAUAGUCAUCAAAGUUGUCUUAAGUUGAGCUAAUAUGGUGGAGUCUUUAUACUAUCUCACAGAUGAGUCACUGGAAGUAGACUGUCCAGAGAUAGGGCAUGACUUUUGGUAAAUGGCGUUCUGCAACUAAGGCUAUUCCUGAGGAGACUCUCAGCAACUGGGGCAACAAGUCCCUUGUUGAAGAAGAUAUGGAUGACAUUUCACCGUGUCUACCAUAAUGUCAACUUUGAUACCCAGUAAUGAUUCCUUCUGUCCUUCCCCAAAGGAUCCUAAACCAUUUACUCAGAUAACUUCACACAGGGGUAAAGGAACCACCUAGUCAUUUUGAGGACAAUUGGACACAUUUUUUCUUUGACAUUGAUAUUUGGAGAUUUAGAGAAUCUGAAUAAUCAUCACUGACCCUCUGUUAGAGUAGAAGAAUUUGUAUCCAAAUAAUAUAUUAGAGUUCUGGCCCAGAUCCAACUCACAGAAGCUCUACUAGUUCCACAGACUCAAGGUUCAGUUCCCUAGUUCCAAAAUGUAAAAUUAAGAGGAACAUACUCAGAACCCCAACUCUGGCCCCUUUACCUAUGUGUUAAGAACCAUCACAGUGAGAAAAGUUAAAUGAAAGCUCCAAUCACCACCCAACCCACCUCUGGCCAAGGGAAUAUGUCAUAGAUGAUAUUGUGUUUGAGGUGGAAUACUAGAGAUUACCAUCAUCUACUAAGACCUGAAAAAUGCAGAGAUGGUAGUUUUGAAUAUAUAUCCAUUUGAUGUACUAACUUGGACCUUACAAAAGCUAAAAAGAUAAAGAAAGAGGAUAGUAGAUUACCAUAAACUCAACCAAAUAGGAAAACCAAUUGAAGCUACUGUACCUGAUGUGGUAUCUUUGCUGGAGCAAAAAUUAACAAGUUCUCCAUUUCAUAGUAUCUGGUCAAUGACCUGGUAAGUGCAUCUGGUUCUACUUUUCUCAAGAAGCAGGAUCAUAAUAUGGAUUUAUGUUGGACAAAGAAGAGUAACAUUUACCAUCCUUCCCUAGGACUAUAAUUAAUCCUCUUAGCCUCUAUUAAAUUACAGUCUGAAGGGACCUGGAGCAUCUGAAUAGUCUUCAAAAGAUUUCCAUGGUCACAUAUUAAACUUGAUAUAUUGAUAUCAAGUUAAUUAGAGUGGAUGAGCAGGAAGUGGCAAGUAUAUUGAAGAUUUCUGUAAGACACAGGUACUUUUGGAGGGUAGGAAAUAAACCCUAAGACAAUUUAGGAGUCCAUAGGAUCAAUGAAAUUUGUAGGACUUUGGUAGUCUGGGGCAUGCUGAAACAUACUUUUCAAAGUAAGGGAAAAUAAAACAAGAGAGAAUAAAAUGAUAAGCCACAAACUGGGAAAAAAAUACUUGCAAAAGACAUAUCUGGUAAAAUUUUAUUAUCCAAAUACACAAAGAAUAUGUAAAACUCAACAAUAAGAAAAUAAACAAUUACAUUUUAAAAUGAACCAAAGACCUCACCAAAAAACACACACAGAUGG